rnacentral:rRNA from 1 species
ACUCAAAGGAAUAGACGGGGGCUCACACAAGCGGUGGAGCAUGUUGCUUAAUUCGAGGCAACGCGAAGAACCUUACCUAGGCUUGACAUGGCCGGAUUAACUCCGUGAAAGCGGAGCCACACCCGCAAGGGUGGAACGGUCACAGGUGCUGCAUGGCUGUCGUCAGCUCGUGCUGUGAAGUGUCAGGUUAAGUCCUUUAACGAGCGCAACCCCUAUCGUUAGUUGCUCGGCGCAAGCCAGUACUCUAGCGAGACUGCCGGUGUCAAACCGGAGGAAGGUGGGGAUGACGUCAAGUCCUCAUGGCCUUUAUGCCUAGGGUUGCAAACGUGCUACAAUGGCGUGCACAAUGCGGCGCGAAACGGCGACGUAGAGCAAAUCGCAAAAAACACGCCCCAGUUCGGAUUGCAGGCUGCAACUCGCCUGCAUGAAGUCGGAAUCGCUAGUAAUCGGAGAUCAGCUACGCUCCGGUGAAUGUGUUCCUGAGCCUUGUACACACCGCCCGU